AUGGGAAAUAAGCAAGACGAACUCCAACUCCUAGCACAGCACCACACAUACGAUGUCAUAGGCAUCACUGAAACCUGGUGGGAUGACUCCCAUCACUGGAAUUUAACCAUUGAGGGCUAUAACCUCUUUCAAAAAAAUAGAACAAAGGGGAGAGGAGGGGGAGUAGCUUUAUAUGUCAAAAACAGUUACGUUGCAGAAGAAAUGCAAGACUGUAAUCCGGGAAACCAGCUUGAAAGCAUCUGGAUAAGAAUCAAGGGAACCGGGACUCAAAAAGAUCUUGUCGUGGGUGUCUACUACAGACCUCCGAGUCAGGAUGAAGGACUUGAUGAAGCCUUCUGUCAACAGCUGACCAAACAGGCACAAAGAAGAGAUAUAGUAGUCAUGGGCGAUUUCAAUUAUCCCGAUAUCUGCUGGAAAACAAACUCAGCCAAGAGUACAAAGUCCAACAAAUUCCUCACUUGCCUUGCAGAUAAUUUUAUGGUCCAGAAGGUAGAAGAGGCAACAAGGGGAUCAGCAACUCUUGAUCUAAUCUUAACUAAUGUGGAAGACCUGAUCAAUACAGUUGAAGUGGUUGGAUCCUUAGGGGCAAGUGACCAUGUGCUCCUGCAGUUUGCAAUACAAAGGAAUGCUGAAACUAAGACAAGUCAAACACGCAUUCUGGACUUUAAGAGAGCUGACUUCCAAAAAAUGAAGGAAUUACUGAGCGGCAUUCCAUGGACGCCGAUAUUAAAAAACAAGGGAGUUAAGGAUGGAUGGGAGUUUUUCAAAAGUGAAAUACUCAAGGCGCAAAUGCAAACAGUGCCAACAAAGAAGAAAAAUAAGACAAGUGCAAAGAAGCCAGAAUGGAUGUCCAAAGAACUUCUAACUGAGCUAAAGCUCAAAAGUGACAUGCACAAGAAGUGGAAAAGGGGAGAAAUCACCAAAGAAGAAUUCAAACGUAUAGCCAACACCUGUAGGGAAAAGGUUCGCAAGGCUAAAGCGCAAAAUGAGCUCAGGCUUGCCAGGGACAUAAAAAACAACAAAAAGGCUUUUUUGCUUACGUUGGUAGAAAAAGGAAGAAAAAGGAGGCGAUAG
rnacentral:lncRNA from 1 species